AGAGUUUGAUCCUGGCUCAGGACGAACGCUGGCGGCGCGCCUAACACAUGCAAGUCGAACGGAAGUGUUCAAUCGGAAGUUUUCGGACGGAAGAGUGGACAGUUUAGUGGCGAACGGGUGAGUAACGCGUGAGUAACCUGCCCUUCAGAGGGGGACAACAGUUGGAAACGACUGCUAAUACCGCAUAAGCCCACGGUGCCGCAUGGUACAGUGAGAAGAGGAGAAAUCCGCUGAAAGAUGGACUCGCGUCUGAUUAGAUAGUUGGUGGGGUAACGGCCUACCAAGUCGACGAUCAGUAGCCGGACUGAGAGGUUGAACGGCCACAUUGGGACUGAGAGACGGCCCAGACUCCUACGGGAGGCAGCAGUGGGGAAUAUUGCACAAUGGGGGAAACCCUGAUGCAGCGACGCCGCGUGAAGGAAGAAGGUAUUCGUAUUGUAAACUUCUGUCGCAGAUGACGAAUUGAUGACGGUAAUCUGCAAGAAAGCACCGGCUAACUACGUGCCAGCAGCCGCGGUAAAACGUAGGGUGCUAGCGUUGUCCGGAAUUACUGGGUGUAAAGGGAGCGCAGGUGGCAGUGCAAGUUGGAUGUAAAAUCUACGGGCUCAACCCGUAUAAGCAUUCAAAACUGUGCAGCUUGAGUGAAGUAGAGGUAGGUGGAAUUUCCGGUGUAGCGGUGGAAUGCGUAGAUAUCGGAAGGAACAUCAGUGGCGAAGGCGACCUACUGGGCUUUAACUGACGCUGAGGCUCGAAAGCAUGGGUAGCAAACAGGAUUAGAUACCCUGGUAGUCCAUGCUGUAAACGAUGAUUACUAGGUGUGGGGGCGAAAGCUUCCGUGCCGGAGUUACACAAUAAGUAAUCCACCUGGGGAGUACGACCGCAAGGUUGAACUCAAAGGAAUUGACGGGGGCCCCACAAGCAGUGGAGUAUGUGGGUUAAUUCGAACAACGCGAAGACCUUACCAGGCUUUGAAUCCUGCGCUAAGGCAAGAAUUGUUGAAUCACCUUCCGGAGUGCGAUAAACAAGGGGGGCCAGGGUUGUCGUCAGCUCGUGUCGUGAGAUGUUGGGUUAAGUCCCGCAACGAGCGCAACCCUUAUCAUUAGUUACUACGAAAGAGGACUCUAAUGAGACUGCCGUUGAGAAAACGGAGGAAGGUGGGGAUGACGUCAAAUCAUCAUGCCCCUUAUGACCUGGGCUACACACGUACUACAAUGGCUGUCAACAAAGUGAACCAAAUGCGCGAGUAAGAGGGAAACACAAAAAACAGUCACAGUUCGGAUUGUAGGCUGCAACUCGCCUACAUGAAGCCGGAAUUGCUAGUAAUCGCGGAUCAGCAUGCCGCGGUGAAUACGUUCCCGGGCCUUGCACACACCGCCCGUC
rnacentral:rRNA from 1 species